rnacentral:rRNA from 1 species
UACACUCCUGCGGGAGGCAGCAGUGGGGAAUAUUGGACAAUGGGCGCAAGCCUGAUCCAGCCAUGCCGCGUGAGUGAUGAAGGCCCUAGGGUUGUAAAGCUCUUUCACCGGUGAAGAUAAUGACGGUAACCGGAGAAGAAGCCCCGGCUAACUUCGUGCCAGCAGCCGCGGUAAUACGAAGGGGGCUAGCGUUGUUCGGAUUUACUGGGCGUAAAGCGCACGUAGGCGGACUAUUAAGUCAGGGGUGAAAUCCCGGGGCUCAACCCCGGAACUGCCUUUGAUACUGGUAGUCUUGAGUUCGAGAGAGGUGAGUGGAAUUCCGAGUGUAGAGGUGAAAUUCGUAGAUAUUCGGAGGAACACCAGUGGCGAAGGCGGCUCACUGGCUCGAUACUGACGCUGAGGUGCGAAAGCGUGGGGAGCAAACAGGAUUAGAUACCCGAGUAGUCCCA